CCUACGGGAGGCAGCAGUGGGGAAUAUUGGUCAAUGGGGGGAACUCUGAUCCAGCGACGUCGCGUGAGUGAAGAAGUAUUUCGGUAUGUAAAGCUCUAUCAGCAGGGAAGAAAGAAAUGACGGUACCUGACUAAGAAGCCCCGGCUAACUACGUGCCAGCAGCCGCGGUAAUACGUAGGGGGCAAGCGUUAUCCGGAUUUACUGGGUGUAAAGGGAGCGUAGACGGCGAUGCAAGUCUGAAGUGAAAGGCGGGGGCCCAACCCCCGGACUGCUUUGGAAACUGUAUGGCUGGAGUGCAGGAGAGGUAAGUGGAAUUCCUAGUGUAGCGGUGAAAUGCGUAGAUAUUAGGAAGAACACCAGUGGCGAAGGCGGCUUACUGGACUGUAACUGACGUUGAGGCUCGAAAGCGUGGGGAGCAAACAGGAUUAGAUACCCGAGUAGUC
rnacentral:rRNA from 1 species